rnacentral:rRNA from 1 species
CAGCCGCCGCGGUAAUACGAAGGGUGCAAGCGUUACUCGGAAUUACUGGGCGUAAAGCGUGCGUAGGCGGUUACUCAAGUCAGAGGUGAAAGCCCGGGGCUCAACCCCGGAACUGCCUUUGAAACUAGGUGACUAGAAUCUUGGAGAGGUCAGUGGAAUUCCGAGUGUAGAGGUGAAAUUCGUAGAUAUUCGGAAGAACACCAGUGGCGAAGGCGACUGACUGGACAAGUAUUGACGCUGAGGUGCGAAAGCGUGGGGAGCAAACAGGAUUAGAUACCCCAGUAGUCCCUGUCUCUUAUAC